UACGGAGGGUGCAAGCGUUAUCCGGAUUUACUGGGUUUAAAGGGUGCGCAGGCGGAUAUGUAAGUCAGUGGUGAAAUCUCCGGGCUUAACCCGGAAACUGCCGUUGAUACUAUAUAUCUUGAAUGCUGUGGAGGUAAGCAGAAUAUGUCAUGUAGCGGUGAAAUGCUUAGAGAUGACAUAGAAUACCUAUUGCGAAGGCAGCUUACUACGCAGAUAUUGACGCUCAUGCACGAAAGCGUGGGGAUCAAACCGG
rnacentral:rRNA from 1 species